rnacentral:rRNA from 1 species
AAGAUUAUUUAUACCACCCUGAAAUGUGCCCAGUCUCAUCUGAUCUUGGAAGGUAUACAGGGUCAAGACUGGUUAGUGCUAGGAUGGGAGAAAAUUUCAAGAUUCACAAGACUCUUU